rnacentral:rRNA from 1 species
GGGCUCACACAAGCGGUGGAGGAUGUGGCUUAAUUCGAGGCUACGCGAAGAACCUUAUCCUGGUCUUGACAUGCUUGGGAAUACCCGUGAAAGCGGGUAGUGCCUUUCGGGAGCCCUUGCACAGGUGCUGCAUGGCUGUCGUCAGCUCGUGUCGUGAGAUGUCGGUUAAGUCCCUUAACGAGCGAAACCCUUAUCUCUAGUUGCCAGCGUGUAAUGGCGGGGACUCUAGAGAGACUGCCGGUGUUAAACCGGAGGAAGGCGGGGAUGACGUCAAGUCCUCAUGGCCUUUAUGACCAGGGCUGCACACGUCCUACAAUGCGUCAUACAAAGGGAAGCAACCUCGCGAGAGUAAGCA